rnacentral:rRNA from 1 species
CAUGCAAGUCGAGCGGAAACGAGUUAUCUGAACCUUCGGGGGACGAUAACGGCGUCGAGCGGCGGACGGGUGAGUAAUGCCUAGGAAAUUGCCCUGAUGUGGGGGAUAACCAUUGGAAACGAUGGCUAAUACCGCAUGAUGCCUACGGGCCAAAGAGGGGGACCUUCGGGCCUCUCGCGUCAGGAUAUGCCUAGGUGGGAUUAGCUA